rfam:Gossypium raimondii Chr09_contig_1538, whole genome shotgun sequence.
UGUUAAAAUUUUCAUCCAUUUAUACUGUUAAAAACUAACAUAGUUGAUAGAAUAACCAAAUAGAGACACAUGGCAUGCCACAUGUACCUCGUGCUAACAUACAUGGACUAGUUUUUAAUAGUAGAUAUGGAUGAAAGUUUUAACA